AUGACAAAGAAAAGAGGGAACAAUGAUAGUGCUAAAAAGGGCCGCAGCCACAUGCAGCCUAUUCGCUGCAGGAACUGUGCCCGAUGCAUGUCCAAGGACAAGGCCAUUAAGAAAUUCGUCAUUCAAAACAUAGUGGAGGCCACAGCAGUCAGGGACAUUUCUGAAGCAAGUGUCUUCGAUGCCUGUGUCCUUCCCAAGCUGUAUGUGAAGCUACAUUACUGUGUGAGUUGUGCAAUUCACAGCAAAGUAGUCAGGAAUCAAUCUCUGAAGCCCGCAAGGACCAAACACCCCCACCCCGAUUUAGACCUGCGGGUGCUGCUCCACGACCCCCACCAAAGCCCAUGUAAGGAGCUGAGUCCUUAAAGACUGAAGACAGACUAUUCUCUGGAGAAAAAUAUAAUGGAAACUGUACUUACAAAAAAACAAAAAGAGGAAGGCAGUUUUUAGCGAAGUGCUGUAAAUCUUUUAGACCUUUGAGGGCAAUUUAUAGUUUUUGGAGCAACCCCACCUCUAUCUUAGCUUUCUGCUCACCAUCAUCUCAUUGUUCCAGUUUCAUGUAGGCUGAGAUUCAGAAGGUAAUGUUGGAGAUUAGAAUAAAUUACAUAUAUCUCUAAAAAGUGGAGGAUUGCGCACGGAGGAUUUUUAGGGCAGUGAAGCUAUUCUGGAUGAUGCUGUAACGGUGGAUAAGUGUCAUACCCAUAGAUUAUCCAAACCAACACAUUAUCCAGCACCAAGAGUGAACCCUAAUGGAAACAGUGGAUUCUGGGUGAUAAUGAUGUGUUAAUGUGGGGUUGUCAAUUGUAAUAAAUGUACCAUUCUGAUGGGGAAUGUUGACAACGUGGGAAACUGUGCAUGUGUGGGGGCAGGGGGAAUAUGGGAACUCUCUGUACUUUCUGCUCAACCUUGCUGUGAAUUUAAAAUUGAUUCAAAA